CAGGGGGAAUGCGACCCUUGUGAUGAAUCAACGCUAGCGUGUUCCUCGCCAUACGAAUGUAACACUGACAGAUAUCGAUGCGAAUGUCCGUCUGACAAAGUCCAAGUCGGAAGUGAAUGUGUUGGAAGAUAUGUAACAGAGACAUGUAGUACCACCGUUGAUACAUGUGUUGACGACAACGCUGAAUGUAAUGGUACAAUCUGCAAUUGUGUUGCAGGUUACCACUGGAAUGGCACUCUGUGUGUUGGAACAUCAAUAUGUGCCCCUUGUGACGCCUCGACAAUUGAUUGUGAUGAUGGAUUGGUUUGUAGUACAGCAACAUAUAGAUGUUCAUGUCCAGAUGAUAGAGUCCAAAUAGGAGACC